CGCAUCUGUGCAUGCAGCAUAUCAAUAAGCGGAGGAAAAGAAACUAACAAGGAUUCCCCUAGUAACGGCGAGUGAAGCGGGAAGAGCUCAAAUUUGAAAUCUUAAAGGGUUUCCCUUUACGAAUUGUAGUUUAAAGAAGUGUUUUCUGUUGAGGUUUUGGUAAAAGUUCUUUGGAAUAGGACAUCAUAGAGGGUGAGAAUCCCGUAUUUGACCUUUACUUUCAACUUUGUGAUACACUUUCAAAGAGUCGGAUUGUUUGGGAAUGCAGUCCAAAAUGGGUGGUAAAUUUCAUCUAAAGCUAAAUAUUGGCGAGAGACCGAUAGCGAACAAGUACCGUGAGGGAAAGAUGAAAAGAACUUUGAAAGAGAGUUAAACAGUACGUGAAAUUGUCAAAAGGGAAGCGUUUGACACCAGUGUUGUUUUUCUGAAAAUCAAUUAAAGAACUGUUUAUGCUAAGUUGUUUAGACUUUAUCAGCUAACUGUUUAGUUUUGAGCUUUUCUUUAAUGCACUUUUCAGUUAACAAGUCAACAUCAAUUUCUUUUGCUGUAAAAAAGCUUGAGGAAGGUGGCUUGAGAUUCGUCUUAAGUGUUUAUAGCCUCUUGCCUAUGCAGUCGGAGAGAUUGAGGUCUGCAGCGUAGAUCCUUCGGGGCUAAAUGCAUUUGUGCUAAGUUAUAGCAUUUUAUAGACAACUUGUUGACUAUGAUUUGUCUUGUAGCUUACUCGCUUAUGUUAUUUUACCUACGCUUAGGAUGUUGAACGCGCACAGAGUCUC
rnacentral:rRNA from 1 species